ensembl:lncRNA
GUCGCUCUAAAAACAUCAUAGUAUAGCAUGUCGCUCUAAAAAUGUCAUAGUUUAGCAUGUCGCUCUAAAAACAUCAUAGUAUAGCAUGUCGCUCUAUAAACGUCAUAGUAUAGCCUUUGGUCCAAAAAACAUCAUAGUUUAGCAUGUCACUCAAAAACGUCAUAGUAUAGCAUGUCGCUCUAAAAACGUCAUAGUAUAGCAUGUCGCUCUAAAAACGUCAUAGUAUAGCAUGUCGCUCAAAAAAAGUCAUAGUAUAGUAUGUCACUCUAAAAACGUCAUAGUAUAGCCUUUUGUCCAACAAACGUCAGAGUAUAGCAUGUCGCCCAAAAAACGUCAUCGUAUAGCAUGUCGCUCUAAAAACAUCAUAGUAUAGCAUGUCGCUCUAAAAAUGUCAUUGUAUAGCAUGUAGCUCUAAAAACGUCAUAGUAUAGCCUUUGGUCCAAAAAACGUCAUAGUUUAGCAUGUCGCUCAAAAAACGUCAUUGUAUAGCAUGUCGCUCUAAAAACGUCAUAGUUUAGCCUUUUGUCCACAAAACAUUGUUUUGUCCUGACUGUCUGAAGUAGGUGAGGAGCAACACAAAAACAGUCCAAACGCUGGUUUCCAGAGGGUUAGACGAGUAUUUAUUUGAAAGAGUAAGUUUACAGUAACACAACAUGUGAAGGGGUUAAAAGCAAAUGGGUGUUAGUAAAAUAAAAAUAAAUCAACAGAACUAAAAGUGAACUCCACGUUGACACUGAUGGGCAUUCCAACCAGGAACAAAGUAAAAGAUAAUCAAUAGGAAAAAAAACUCUUCCUGUUCACCUCUUAAAACCCAAAAACUCACCGCAGUAGCAGCCUAAACUAAAACUACCAAUGGGUUCCCUGUUUUCCUUUCUGAACAAUUCAAAGGUCCCUCUCUAUCUCCCCACACAUCCACCAACCACUGGAACACAUCUCCAAAGUUCUGCUGGACCAGCUCAGCUUCCCCUCAGAAGAAGUGGCGCCACCUGCCAGAUGAAGGAGCCUUUUGAGAGGCAGCUGGCAUCGUGAUUGGACUGUACUUUGGUCUGUUCCAGUCCAGCUUCAGCUCCAGAGACGGCAGGCGGGACGAGUCAACGGAGGCCUGGUGGAUGAAGGCAUGCAGCUGAGUACAAUCCAGAAAACAACAGAGGAGGAGUGCAGCAGCCCAGAGCCAGAACAACCAGAGUAGCAUCGUAUGUCUCUUAGAAAACAUCAUAGUAGAGCCUUUGGUAUGAAAAAACGGC